AAGGGAACUGGAAGCAGGCAGAAGGGGGUCUGGGGGCGGAUCGUGGGCAGGGCCACGCCAGGCUGUUUGGAGAGGCACAGCCUUCCCCUGCCUAUGCUACCCACUACCCAUGAUGAUGGAUCCCCAAAUUUAAAACUGAACUUAAGCAGCUGAGUUUCCUGGUUUGGAGUCUGUGAGAAUUCAGCACACAGAGCAGCAGCAAGACGAGGCACAAAGCUUGCAUCUCAAACAGGUUUACUCCAAGGAUGAAUCUGGCCUGCUAGGACUAUGGCAAGAAAGACCAUCUGCUUUCCAAACCAGGCAGCAUCUCCAUAGCAGCACAUCUCCUCGGAGACCCACAUUCAGAGUUCCUCUGGACCUGAUCUUUUAUAACUUCACUGUGGGAAUUAGCAGUUGGACCGCGUCUUCUGACUGGAAUGAUGCCUUUAGCUCUGCCUCAGACAUCACCUUCUCUAGAAGACAUGAAGACUUCCUAGUACACAGUCAUCAGAGAAAAAAUAUCCAUGCAGUAGCUGUUGGCACUAAUUAGCUGCUUUGGUUAGUUGAUUUGAAUUAAUUUACUUUAUUGUGUGAGUGUUGCUAGGGUGCUCGGUGGCUAUUCUAGUGGAUUGUAGCACUUAGGCUUUGUCUAUAUUGCAGCCUGGACCAGUUACCUAAAGGUGACAUUUUAAACUGAUCCAGUUAAAAUGAUGCCAACCCUGUGUGGGCACUCUUAAUUUGAUUGUCUGGUUUAGCUGGGUUUAGCUUAACUUGAUAUGGAACUGAAUUAAACUGACAAACCAGAUUUAGAUCAAAUUAUGAGUGUCCACCUAUAGCUUUGCAUCAUUUUAACUAGAUUGGUUUCUCACUUGAUUUAACGUUAAACUGCUGUACCUUUGAAUACAGAAAGGCCUAAAUGUCAGGACACCAGGAGCUCGUGUCCAGUCAUGCUCAUUGUCAAGCUGUGCUACCAUGGCUCAAGAGCAUGGGUGCCAGCCUCUGUGCAGACUGUUGGGGAAACAGGUCACAAACCCCCAAACUGGCUGGGAGUUCUAUACUUAGAUUUCACCAACCAAUUAUCAAGUGUAACUCCUCAGACACUGUAACAGCCUAAAUAUGGAGUCACAGACAGUCCCAUUGGGUACUCUGAUCUGUCUUGUCACCCGGGUAAGCUUACCUUUGUGACAGAUGGCCCAUUACAUCAAAGAUCCCAGCAAUAUUCAGGUUACUCCCAGUCCCAAAGGAUCUGUCACUCACCCCAGGUUAAUUGCACUUUAGAUUUCACACCAAAGAUAACACCUGUAGUUUAUUAUAGACAAUCCUAUCUAAAGAUUGAUUAUCAAGGAAAGCAAAUAAGAGAGUUUUUUACAAGGUUAAAGCAUGUAAACAUAUAGAUACACAAACAAGUUCCAGUCUUAAGCUUCAAAAGGUAAUAAAAGCUUCUAUAACAAGCAAGCUCUAUAUGUCUUUUAGAGCUAACCCAGGCCAAACACUGGGGAUCGUUGCUUUUACCUAGAAAACUUUGCCCUUGAGAAUCCAAGCAGCAUAGAAUCAUAGAAAUGUAUGACUGGAAGGUACCCCGAGAGGUCUUCUAGUCCAGUCCCCGGCACUCAAAGCAGGGCUAAGUAUCAUGUUUAUCUAGGUAUCUGAUAAUUCUGUUCUUUACUAAGUUUCAACCAAUUUGCCUGGUAGUAAACUUAGGGUUCUAUCUGAAUAAAUCAUAUAGACUUAAAUCUGGCAAGAGAGAAUCCUACCAAGUCAUAAGGAAGCUUGGCAAAGCAGUCCAGUCUGGUGAUGGAAGAAUUCAAAGGUUUUGGAUUCUAACCCUUAUUUCUAGGCUCCAGAGCCCAUAAGUGCCUUGACUGGAUCUGACAAAGCAUUCUUUAUUUUUUUUAUGCCUUCUCAUCAGAAACAUGCUUUAACAACUCAUUCCUCAGCUGCCCAGAAAUCUCAAACACACAAUCUUUAAUUUCAUCACAAACUUCUUUGAUUUGGCAGCAGCUCCAGAGACCUUGCUGACUUUUCUUGGCAUUGGAGAGACUUUCUAAAAGUCAGGAACCAGUUGGGGGCCAGAGUCAAUGAUCUUUAUUUAAACAGAACUCCCAUUGAUUUUGAAAGCUUA